GCAGGGGCAGGGAUGGGAGUGCUUGAAGCCUGCUUCAUUCCCAAAGAUUUCUAGGGAAAAGCUUUCUACUACAUCCUUUGGCUUGACCUUCUUGACCCAUGACUCUCUUUCAAGGAAGUUCACUCCAAUUCCCAGUCUGCCCUGUUUCCACUGGCCACAUUCUCUAAGGAAGAACACAGCAGAACAAUAGCAUCUGUUUUGUUUCUGCAUGGCUGGAGGGUAGGGCUGUCGGUCUAGCACCCAUAAACCAAAAUGAGGCAGGGAUUGGGGCUUGCCCUAUGAUGCUCUGAUGACCAAAGCAGAUGCGUAGAGGCAAGCAGCAUGGUAUUGGGCAAGAGGACUGGACUGGGAGUCCAGAGAUGCUGCUUCACCCUGGGCCUUUAGACACUUCUCUUCCCCUCCCAGAGCCUCAGCAUCCCUUCUAUCAAAUGAUGACAUUCUGCCUUUUUCCCAGGGUGGUUGUGGGGAUCGAGGGAGACAGUGGCUAUAGGGAUGCUGUGUUAACUGCAGAUGCAGCCAUAGGAGCACUUUGCUAACCGCCAACGUGAGUUCAGAUUCUUCAGGGUAUUUGGCACCCAGGUCUAUGGUGCGGUGUGAAAUCUGUGAUGUAAGGUUUGAUGCCUGCCCCAACUCCAGUCUUGCUAACACACAUGAAACAUUUGGCGAAUCAUGACCCUACCUUGGGGAAAAGAGCAGUCUGGGAGAGCUUCUUCAAGGCAACCUGACUUCAGUGCAGUCUGAGGCAUGGCUGAGAUAGGCUUACGUGGCAAGGAAUCAGGAGGGUAUCUGGGCCAAGAGCUGCAGUGUGGGCAGAGGUGUAGUGUGGGCUGCAACGAGGACAGCCACUGGACAAAGCAGAGAACAGAGACAGAAUGAGGAAGAGCUCUGUGGGCAGGGUGGGGCAUAAGGUGGAGAACCUUCAAAGUCUGAAAAGUUUGACUUGUUGGGGCUCAAUGCUGUGGGCAGUAGGGAACCACAGAAGGCUGUUAGGUGGAGAAAUGACAGCUGGACAUUAGUGAGCAAGCCCUAUCUCCAUGAGCAGCACGGGUGGUCCCCUAAGCACACCAGGCACGAGUGUGCAGGGAGCUGGUGCAAAUGCCUCUGUGUGCGGGUGAGCUUCUGUGUUGUGACUCUGCCCACACGUGUGCUUCAGUGUGCUGAGUGGCUGCAUGCCCCAGAUCCAUGCUGCACGCGCCGCCGGCCAGUGAGGGUGCUGGGCACUGGGAGGUGGCGGGGAAGGAGGCGUAUGCGUGUUGUUUGUGGGCAUGUGUGUUAGCGUGUGCAUGUGGGCCAUGGGGCCUCACAGCAUGUGUGUGCACGCCCGGGCGUGUGCGUGUGUGUGUCCCCCACCCCCAGGCCUGCCCCACCCGUGCGUGUGAACUGCCAUGUUGAUUUCGUGCUGUCUUUCAGAAUCACUAUCAGUGACCCCUGAGGAGCGUCAGCCAUGCCGAUCGGGUCAGGCAAGUCCAUCCCGUCCUGAGAGCCCCAGGCCCCCCUUCGACCUCUAAACAGAUCCCUCCUCUUCUCGGAGACCUCCCUUUCCAAGCCUGCCUGGACGGCUGUCCUGUGACUUGACAGUGGCUCCCCCAGCCCCAAAGCCAGCCCCCUUCAUCUGUGACUUAAUCUGUUGUAGUGGUGAGCUGAUACAUUCAGGCGUGACCGUUGGUGAAAACUUGUGCCCCUUCUGUGGUAUGCCCUUGCCCUGUUCUAUAAAUAUCUAUAAAUACUCAUAUAUAUACACACCUACACAUGGCCAACCGCCUCGCCUCUAGCGCUGGGAAUCAGUCACUGUGCUAUCCUUGUGGAGUCUUGUGGCCCAACUACAAGAGAACGCUGUCCCCCGACAUCCCACUCCAAAGUGUGCCACCUCCAGUGAGCCUCCUUGUCAUGCCCGGCCUGUGGACAGCCAGCCCCCACCAUCCCUCCCACCCCCUACCAAGCAUGGGGGUGCUGUGCAGGCAGCCGUGUGGCCUGACAGUCUCUACCAGUCCUGCUGUCCCUCGGCUGAGAAUAAAACCCAUUUCUGGAUGAUGGG
rnacentral:lncRNA from 1 species